AUGCUAUUUUUUGUGCAGUUUACUAAAAAUUGGUUUAAAAAUUAAUGGAUACAGUGAACCUGAGUGGAGUUCCUGCUUCCCCCAACAUCAGAAUGGAAAUAUUUUGACUAACAACCUUUCUUUCAGAAAACUGGCUGGUGCAGAUUCUCUCUAGAUGGCAGUGGAGCUCUUUCAAUAAUGAUUUUGCUUCCUUCCCCCACCCUCUUUCCAUUUCUUCUGGAGACUCAUUUUUAGCUGUAUUGCUCUAUGAUUUAACAGGGCUUUGAUGCUGUGAGAUGUUGGCGGGCACAAAUCAGACUUUCUUUUCUAAAAGGAUAAUAUACUGCUUUUUCAAAGUCAAUUAACACUUAGGGCAAAUGAAAUGGGGAGAGCUAAAGGUCAAUUACUAAAGGAUGGCCACAGAAAUUUUUCUGGUUUACACAGCAUUCAUCCAGGGAUUGCAGAUCAGUGGGGAAAGAAAGGAAAUAGCAAUUAGCUCAUUUGAUUUCUUGAUGGUUACCAACAAGAUAGUUAAAUACAGCUUAUCUCUUUUAUUAUUAUCAAGUGUGACUGGUGCUAAUAAUCAUUCUGACCAGCUCCAGACCACGUUUUUUCAAGGCAUUGUACCUCCAUCACAGUAGCUGCGAGGUUGUUGUGACAAUUUGUGCACCAGGCAAAGGUUAGCAGAGAGAAUAGUUUUAAUACCUCAGGUUUGGAGUGGAGUUAGUAAGCUUUGUGUGUAAAAGAAAUAUUGUAGCUGGGCAGUUCAGCUAUUAAACAAAGAAGGGCAUUAAAGGAAGGGAGACUGAGUGCCUUUUUCACUGCCAUUCAUCAUCCUGUUUAAAACAAGCAAGUUAAAACUUGGCCUUUGGAGGUCUGUGGUGCACUUUCAUUGGCUAACCACCAGCUUAGUUUUCAUGUCAUGACUGUGAUGCUGUUUUACAGGUAAACCACUAUGGAUUUAAAGAUUUAAUCAGACAGGACUCCAGCUGCUUAGAUUUAUCUGUCUUCAUGUUGGUCAUCUGAGUCACUCUGGCAUAAGUGAUGCAACUGAGUAGUGUAAACCACAAACAUUUAAAUCAUUUUCAGAUGUGUGCCUUGUUUAGAAAAGGGAGGUUUGUGUCGAGAGCACGCAGCUUAAAGGAUCCCUUCAUAAGAGUAACAAUAACCCCAAAUUUAAAGGACCGUUCCUAACAAAGUGAGGUAGCAGAUUUCUCUCUUUUUUCAUGUGUACACAUGUACACGUUUUUCCAUGUGUAGCUUAAUGGUGGCUACACAUGGAAAUGGCCAGCCUUGAGUUUGUGCUGCUUGUCUUUUGUGUGUCAAACAGCUUUCCAGGUAAGACUCACACUUAAGAUUGCAGUCAAAGUUCAUUUCUAUCUUUUUUAGAAUAAUUCUGCUGAGUACAAUAACCUUUUCCUUUGUGAAUAAGGAGUUUCUGUUUGCACUUACAUGAAAAGAAAAAAAGGCCAGUGUUACAGGCAGCAGGAGAUUAUUUCAGACCUGACUAUUCAGAGGGCUUUGCAAGACCAUGGGGGCCAGGCAAAGCAUAUAAUGAACAAAUUCUUUUGAGGUAAGUUAUUAUUUGGGAUUCUGAAUGGGUCUCUAACUUGUGUGGGAAAAUACACUGUGUGUUGCACUUGCAUGUAGGUAGUGACUCACCUGCUAGUUGUCAGCAGUGUUCAUUUCAGUGUCUGAGACAGCAGGAGAAGUAAUACAAAGUGCUGGACCUAGAAGUCAUGCUCCCUUGUUUUCUGGUGUGUCAAAGAGGCAAACCUCUCUGCAGCAGCAAGCACAUGUGUGUAGUGCACUGUCUGCCCUCACUACCUGCUGGCUGCAAGCUUGAUCCUUUUGUUUUCAGAGCUCAGCAGCUCUGCUCCCCAGCCGCAGACACAGCGGCACAGCGCCAAAUUUGUUUCCUUGAGUUUACAAAGGGAAUUUCUCCUCUUCCUGCAGCUAUAAACUAUAUCCCACUCGAAGGACAUAUGUGAAGUUUUGUCAUGGCAGGGGCUGCUAUUUUGUUGAUGCCUGAGCUAGCCAGAGAGCACAAAGGCUGCACAUUAGUUUGCCUUGCAUGGUCCAGUUCAAAGAGAGACGUUUUCCUGGCAAAUAUUCAUUUCACCCUGCUGCCUGGGUGCAAUGUUUUCCCUGGACAGGCUUGCUGUUGGAAAGUUGGCAGGUAGGUACUUGUGUUUGUGGAACUGAAGGGCUAUUUUGGCAAUGUGUCUGCACAUAGCAGACACAAACUUGACCAAAUUUCUGGGCAGGUUUUAUAGCACAUAUGAUUUAAGUCCUUCUGUGGUGCAUCUUACUCUGAUUUCAUGUUUCUCUUGUCAUAUCUACUUAUCUUGCAGAAGGUUUUUUUGUGGCAGACAACAUGAUAUUUUUGGAUUGCUGAGCACCCGGGAAACCGGGGCAGGUUCACUGAGCACAAUCAGGCUAUGAAAGAAACAGCAUUUUUCUUCCUUGGAAUAUGCUCCCUGGUGUCUCUUGCCUCUUAUAAACAGGAUUAUUGGAAAAGCAUACCAAUGGAUGAUUGAAGGAGCCUGAAGGGUGGUUCUUCAGGAAGCUGUACCUACAGAAGACUGAAGCAGUACAGCUUUGAGGAUGGAGGAAGAGAACAUCAAGGACUGAACAUGUUUAUGGAAAGUGUGUGUAUGGAGAAGACUUUUGGUAGUUUAUUUUCCUUGGACUCAGCUACAAGACUGAAAGGACAGACUUUCUUUUCCUGAUGUUUGUCAGACAAACUGAAAAAGAGAAGAAAAAGGGAAGAAAUUUCAAUGUGGAAUUUCCUGGAAAUGUUUUUCAUCCUCACAUGAUGCGACCACCAGCAGUCUGUUCUUUUCUGUAAUGAACAUGAAUGUAAAGGGGAACUGAAGACCCUUAUCUGCUAUGAAAGAAGAUUUGAAUAAAAAAUGAUCUUCAUCUUUUGUUCAAGUCAGCCCAAGAAAUGGUUUUUAACCCAUGUGGAAAAAAACCUCUUGAUGUAUUUAUAUGCCCUGUAGCUAAGAGAACAUAAAAUAUUAUUGGAAUUUGGAGCAGUUCAUUAAUUACUCAUGAAAUUGAGUUCACUGUGAGCCACAUAUUGAAUGAUACUGGAUUUAGCUUACGUAAUUAAUAUAGGGUUUAUAUCACAUCCCCUAUGGAAUAAGUAUUAAGCAAGGGAGUUAACCGUACCUUCCUUGUCAAGCAGAUACAAGUUAGUUUCAGAGGGUGAAAUAUUGUAUUCCUAAACCACUGAAGAAGAGAUCAAUGGCCUUCUUUCUUGACAAACUUUAGAAAAUCUGUGAGGUAGUUAUUUUGUGUUACUCUUAGCUGAGUGUUACACAUUCCAUCAAGUGUUGGAAAGCAAAUUUUUAAAGGGAGGAGCUUUUUCCUUCAUUUUUUCAUAAUACCAUAAAGACUGAUGUGCAAGAGAAUAUAGAUUAUAUCAGAGUCCUUUCAGAUUCAAAAUUUCAAUAUUUUCUUCUGCUACAACGGUUUAAUUUAGAGGAGUCUUUUGGUAAGGGAUUUGUAUCUCUUUAAUGAAACUGAAGAGCAUGAAAUGUGGUUUCCCUUCUUUUAAAUGAGGCCAAUUUUAGAGAAAUAAAAUGAGACAUGAAUAAAUUGUUGAAGUCACAGUGCAUGAAAUUAAGAGAGCUCUUGACUAUAUUGGCAACAAGUUUUCUCUCUAGUGUUUUGAUGACCAUGCAGCUAAGUGGUUGUGGGCUAA